ACUGGAGGUGCAUUGCUCACUAUUCUUGAAAAGGGUAACAUGGGAGAACAUUCUCCCUUUGUCUCCAACAGUUGCAAGUUCAGAGUGUGUGGAAACAAGCACAACCAGCUCCCCUUACCCUGCACUAAGCAGCAGGGAAUCCCUUUGCCUCUCAUCUCUCACUGCCAUUCAUGAUGUGUGCAGCAGAACUGCUCUGGAUUUCUGACUUCAUUGAGCACUCCUUGACCACGGUUCUUGCGCCCACAGGUCCGGGUGCCCAGAAGUACCAGAUGCCCAACAGCAGCUCUAUCAGCGAGUUCCUCCUCCU
ensembl:lncRNA